rnacentral:rRNA from 1 species
CCAUCCUACGGGGGGCAGCAGUGGGGAAUGUUGGACAAUGGGGGGAACCCUGAUCCAGCGACGCCGCGUGAGUGAAGAAGUAUUUCGGUAUGUAAAGCUCUAUCAGCAGGGAAGAAAGAAAUGACGGUACCUGACUAAGAAGCCCCGGCUAACUACGUGCCAGCAGCCGCGGCAAUACGUAGGGGGCAAGCGUUAUCCGGAUUUACUGGGUGUAAAGGGAGCGUAGACGGCAAUGCAAGUCUGGAGUGAAAGGCGGGGGCCCAACCCCCGGACUGCUCUGGAAACUGCAUAGCUGGAGUGCAGGG